CAGUAGCCGCGGUAAUACGUAGGUGGCAAGCGUUGUCCGGAAUUAUUGGGCGUAAAGGGCUCGCAGGCGGUUUCUUAAGUCUGAUGUGAAAGCCCCCGGCUCAACCGGGGAGGGUCAUUGGAAACUGGGAAACUUGAGUGCAGAAGAGGAGAGUGAAAUUCCACGUGUAGCGGCGAAAUGCGUAGAGAUGUGGAGGAACACCAGUGGCGAAGGCGACUCUCUGGUCUGUAACUGACGCUGAGGAGCGACAGCGUGGGGAGCGAACAGGAUUAGAUACCCCGGUAGUCCCUGUCUCUUAUAC
rnacentral:rRNA from 1 species